rnacentral:rRNA from 1 species
UAACAGAGGUCUCAAGCGUUGUUCGGAUUCAUUGGGCGUAAAGGGUGCGUAGGCGGCGCGGUAAGUCGGGUGUGAAAUUUCGAGGCUAACUUCGAAACUGCAUUCGAUACUGCCGUGCUAGAGGACUGGAGAGGAGACUGGAAUUUACGGUGUAGCGGUGAAAAUGCGUAGAUAUCGUAAGGAAGACCAGUGGCGAAGGCGGGUC